UUUAUACUCCCUCCAUCCGAAAAUACUUGUCAUCAAAAUAGAUAAAAAGGGAUGUAUUUAGAACUAAAAUACGUCUAGAUACAUCCCCUUUUGUUCAUUUUGAUGACAAGUAUUUCCAGACGGAGGGAGUAGUAA
rnacentral:pre_miRNA from 1 species